rnacentral:sRNA from 1 species
CCAAUAUUGGGUGUGCAAGAUAUAUUGUGUAUCAACUUUUUUACCAGACCAGUGAUAAAAACCAAUGAAUCUUCUGGAGUUCAUAAGUGUAUCGCGUGUUAUUGUUUGAAGAGCCACCACCGAAAAGUAAGACCGUAACAGUGCAACAUUGAUUCAUGUUAUUAUGGCCUGAAUGUGAAAAACAGGAAAAGCUAUUAUAACGUACUUGAUGUCAUAAUGUCCUUACUUUGAACUGCUCUGCAGCAAAUAACAAUGAGUAGCAGGCUGUAACUUUUAUUUUUUUUAGUACUAGAUUUGCCUAGUUUUCCAAUUUUGGAACACACCAUUACUCAACAAAGGAAUGUAAUACAGCUUUUUUCUCUUCAAAAAUUCUUGUUUUUAUUUUCUACUUAAGAUAUCUGAAUUUCAUUUUAAAAAAUGCUAAUCUUCUGCAUAAAUGGGUCAAUUUCUAAAUGAGAGCCUUCAUUACUUCCUUUACACAUACACAAUAUCUAUGCAUCAGCCAUUUGUGAUAUUUAUCAUGGUCAUUGAUUUAGCUCAUCUUGUAGUGUUGGACAACAAAGUAGUCCGAAUUAAAGUAAACCCGAAUGAAAUAGAUAGUUUGAGGGCAGUGUGAAGACCUCAUAUAUAGAUGUGUACAAAGCUGUUCAUACAAUGCUUUUCACUUAGUGGUUUUAAUCCUAAUCUUUAAUCUAUGUUGCACUUAAUUUACCUUGUUCCCCCCCCCCAUUUCUCAGAAUGCUGAAAUCAAACACAUGCAUUAAUAUAAUUAAAAUUCUUCUAGAUAUUUCAGUUUCUUUAUCUCAUGUGCUAUCUACUUCAAAACCGGAACUCUUAUAAUUAUUUGUUCUAUUUACAUGUCAAAAGCUAGAAAAAAAUUAAUGUAACUUAAUUUAUGCUCAUUUAUCUGUGAUGUUCAGUUUUUUCUCUGGCCACAGCUGAUGGUGAGUAAUAGAUACAUAAUAAGUAUAUUAGGUGACAUGAACUAUCUCUUUGAAUAAUGGCACAUGAAAUAACUAGCAAGUUGGCCAACAUCAUUCUGUCUGGGAUGCAGACUUGUAUAACAACAUUCCCUUAUCAGCUUCUGUAUAUUGCCCAUGAUAUUUUAAUUUGAUAUGUUAAAACAAAAUUUAUCACAAAACACUUGUACACAGUGGCAUCACUAAAAGCUCAUAAAAAGUUUUGUUAUUCCUAAGUUGCUUAUCUUUCAUUGCAUGUACAUUAUUAAAAUAAUCCCAUUUAUUUGUAUCAUAAAAUAAAAAUAUGAAAUAAUCUGAAGAUUUGUCUGCAUGUCUCCCAUGUAAAUACUGCCAUUAUGUUAUAUAGACAAUACAUUCAUUUCAUUGCAUACUAUGCUUUACUACCCUCAAUAAACUUUCAUUCAGCACAAGUU